rnacentral:snoRNA from 1 species
ACUGAGGUCUAUCCCAAUGGGGCUUUUCCAGUAGCCACAUGUCGUUGGAAACGCCUCAUAUGGUAACUGUGGUUUUCCUUAACUCAAAGGACUUCUUGAGCCUGUGUGAAGGAACCACAAAGCAAUU